AAUGAACGCUGGCGGCGUGCUUAACACAUGCAAGUCGAACGAGAAAGUCCCUUCGGGGAUGAGUAGAGUGGCGGACGGGUGAGUAACGCGUAAGAAUUUCCUUUAGUGGAGAAUACCUCCGAGAAAUCGGGGUUAAUACUGCAUAAGUCUCUUCGGAGAGAAAGAUGGCCUCUCGCUAUCGCUAAAAGAUAAGCUUGCGUACUAUUAGCUAGUUGGUAGGUAAAGGCCUACCAAGGCUGUGAUGGUUAACCGACCUGAGAGGGUGUUCGGUCACAUUGGAACUGAGAUACGGUCCAAACUCCUACGGGAGGCUG
rnacentral:rRNA from 1 species